rnacentral:lncRNA from 1 species
CUUCUGUUUUAUGUCAUUUAAAACAAAAACAAAAAAGCACACGGCAUUGUUUUUCUCCAACCCACCCCCUAUUACCCCCUCAUGGAGAACCAUUUUUACUUACCUUCUGCCUUCCAGAUCACAGCUCCAGAAGAAAAACACUCUGGAACCAGAGGUCACUCUUUUCUAGAACAUGUUCUCAGCCUCCCGAGGUCUACCUCACUCUCCUGCCCAGUCCACCAACACCCUACACUGCAGCUACGAGGUUGUCACUCACUGGGAAGUCCGGAGUCAAGCUCCUUGCCUUGGGACAUCUUUCUUGCCAUCCUCUGCCUAGUGACUCCUGUUCAUCCAUCAAGACACAGCUCAGAUGACAUCAGCUCUACUGUGAAGAUGCCCCCGGGAUCCUUCCAGAGCUGGGAACCUUCAGGCACAUCUGGAAGCUUCUGGCCUUCUCUGGUAGCAUCCUGACCAGCCAUGCCUCUUGUGGCAUUCAGCACAUGCAGCCACGAUGCCCUGCUUGAUGUUCUAACUCUUCUUGAUCAUGACUCCCCCAGGAGACUGCUGUCUUAACUAUCCAUGAGUCCCCAGAACCUACCACAUCACAGACACGUGGUAAGCAGUGAGCACUCAGCUGAGUGUGGGAAGCCAGUUCUGGAUAGCAGCCAAAUGAGGACCACCACACUGGUCCACAGGCCACAGCAGUCAUUGGCAGCGCAGCCUUGGGGGAAAAAACAGUCAAACUUCAUCACCACCCUAAUCCCUGCUAAGCGAACUGAACCAAAGACUACUCUGGAACUCAGUCUAGAAUGAAUGCUCUGCCCAAGCCUCUUCAUCUUUUGGACCUAGCCCUACUGUAAAUGAAUAGAGGUGUCAUGUCAUCUGGGAUCAUUUCCUAAAAUGUAAAAAUGACUUUUAUUUCAUUGAAUCAAAAUGACUUUAAAUGCUUGAUCACUGUUGGUGGGGGAGGGAGAGUAAAUUGUAAAUUCUGAGCGAGCUAAAAUGUUAUUAAUAGACUCAUAUCUAGCUGAGUGUGAUGGUACAUGCCUGUAAUCCCAGCACUCAGGAGACAGAAUCAGGUGGAUCUUUGUGAAUUUGAGGUCAACCUGGUCUACCUAGCAAGUUCCAGAUCAGCCAGUACUGUCUCAACCCCCAUGCAAAACAGAACAAAAGAAUCAUACCCAGAUUAUAUAAAGAACUUCAGCAGGCCGAGCAUGGUGGUGCACGCCUUUAAUCCCAGCACUCGGGAGGUAGAGGCAGGCAGAUCUUUGUGAGUUCAAGGCCAGCCUGGUCUACAUACAUAGCGAGAUUCCAGACCAGCUGGGGCUGCAGAGAGACCCUAUCUCUAAAAAGACCAAAAAAAAAAAAAAAAAAAAAAAAAAAAAAAAAAAAAGAACUUCACAAUGUCAUACUGCAG